GUGUCAGCCGCCGCGGUAAUACGUAGGUGGCGAGCGUUGUCCGGAAUUACUGGGUGUAAAGGGCGUGUAGGCGGGAAGACAAGUCAGAUGUGAAACCCCACGGCUUAACUGUGGGACUGCAACUGAAACUGUAUUUCUUGAGUACUGGAGAGGGAAGUGGAAUUCCUAGUGUAGCGGUGAAAUGCGUAGAUAUUAGGAGGAACACCAGUGGCGAAGGCGGCUUCCUGGACAGAAACUGACGCUGAGGCGCGAAAGCGUGGGGAGCAAACAGGAUUAGAUACCCUGGUAGUCCACGCCGUAAACGAUGGAUACUAGGUGUAGGAGGUAUCGACCCCUUCUGUGCCGGAGUUAACACAAUAAGUAUCCCACCUGGGGAGUACGGCCGCAAGGUUGAAACUUAAAGAAAUUGGCGG
rnacentral:rRNA from 1 species